UAAGACUGGGUACGCAACCUCACUUAUAAUUCCCGCAGGAAACUAAUGUAUCCCAGCCCCGUACACUUUCUCUCUCCUUGACCUCUUUCUCUCUCCCUUUCUCUUGGUUAACCAAAAAUCGCCGCCCCUUCCUUAUAUUUCUCUCUCAUUGCCCUCUUCCCCUCCCUCCCUCCCUCCCCCUCUCUCUCCCCUGGCUGCAAAACCAACCAGGUUACCCACACCAGAACCUACCGGCCUCUGUCUCCCCCCCCCCCUCACCCCUCUCUCUCUCUUUCUCUAUCCCUUAUGCUGCAAAACCAGCCAGGUUAGCCACACUAGAAGUCAACUGCCCCUUCUUUUUCUCUCUCUAUCUCUCUCUCUUGCGUGCGCGAGCAGCAAAACCAGGGCACCCAUCCCACACUCUCGCACUUGCCCGCCCUCCCUCCCUCUCUCUUAGAAAACCACACCAGCAGCAUGACCAGGGCAGCGUCACUCGUUCUCAGAGAAAAAUAUGUUCUCUCUCUCACUACUCUCCUUCAGCCUCUGUCUAAAUCUUCUGCUACCUACGGAUCCACCUCUCUACUCUCUCUAACCAAUUGGGAAGAUGGAGAUAUUAGAGAAUGUAUUGUGUAUUUAGUACUUGGUUUUGCCAUCCAAAUCUUUGGAAGGUUGCAAUAUUGGAGCCUUUAGGUGCACUAACCCCGAUGAUGGGACAAAGAUGUGUCAACACCCCUAGGAGCAGAGCAGUCCAUGACAAGAGCAUGGAACAUCAUCAGUGAAUGACAUCUUCGUGAGAGUGCUAUUUAUUGUGGAUGUGGGCUGUCUCAAUGACAUUUUCAUGAGAGCAAACUUAAAUCACAUUAAGAUUGUUGCUAUGUUUGUGGCCCUGACUUUGUUUUCCGUUAUUAUGUACCUAUUGUUGGCCAGGUUGUUUUUGUUAUUCAUUAAAACUUUGAUGAGUAUGUACGUAUUGGCAUUGAGGUUCUUGUUAUAUUCAUGUCUGUCUCUCACUGCAGCAGUAUGAACCAUCGAAAGAAGAUGUCGGCAAUGGCAGCUAUGCAGCAUCCUUACUCGACAGCUAAUCUUUCAUGAGCAUAUUCUUGUACUACAUUUCUCUAAUGACUUGAAUAGAAAAAGCAGAGGGGAUGGCCACAUGCUUUCCUUCAGCAUUUGUUAGUCUGAUUAACAUAAUUGGGCAUGGUUUCUUCUAUUAUUAGCAGCUUGAUCUAGGUAUCAUACUGAGUGUAUGGAAUUUUGUCCUUUUUUACUUUGGCUACCGAGUGUUUGC